CUCAAUCUAGCUGCACCUAGAAAUGAGGUAAGAAACAUUCAUGUGUCCUCACAUCUGAGGAAGACUUGUCUGAGAAAAGACUUUCAACAAUGCAAUGAUAAAGUAUUCAAAGGCUUGGAUUACAUAACUGUGGUUAAGGUACAAGCACCAGCGCUGGUCAACUUACAAGUUACAAACAACUUGACAAAACAGGGAAACCAGUGCCGAUACAAACAGCGUGACAACACAGGGAAACCAGUGGCUAAACAAACAGCUUUGACAACACAGGGAAACCAGUGCCUAUACAAACAGCUUGUCAACACAGGGAUGGCAGAAAUUAUGUCAGUUAAAUAUUAUACAAUUCAUCAAUUAAAAAGUGUUAGUAAAAUCAUAAUUCAGCCAAUGUUUACAGGAGGAGAUAGCCAGUUGUUUUCUGGUCUUUGCCAGCUCUUUUUUUCUGUAUUCCCCUUUCAUAUUUUGAGUAUGCAAGCUUUUUUCCACCAAAAUCCACAAAGCCGGCAAAAUCUGGCAGAUUAAAAAAAAAAUGUUUGGAACCCUGGUUAAGACAACCGUAGGUAAAAAAAGCCUAAAUAAUGAUAACAAAGUAGAGUUUUUUUCCAAUUGAACAACCUAUUGAUGAUGAUCUUGAAAUACCUCCUUUUGAACCCUGGUUAAGACAACCGUAGGUAAAAAAAAAGCCUAAGUAAUGAUAACAAAGUAGAGUUUUUUUUUUUCCAAUUGAACAACCUAUUGAUGAUGAUCUUGAAAUACCUCCUUCUGACAUGGGCCCUUCUUGAACCUACACAUGUCCCAUAACUCACUCAAAAUACAGAGCAUAGUAUAGUCAUGUUUAAGUAAUGAAAUUUUAUGUUUGUAUGAUCAUUUAUUAUUUUAAAUUGUUCACUGUAUAAAAUGUUUUCAUAAUUCUGAGAAAAAAAAUUUAACAGUCAACUAGAAAUAGUUUUCUCAAUACAAACCAGAACAAUGGACUUCGUAAAAAGCUAAUGUGUUUCAUUGGAAUGUGGAAACAACUAUGAUGAUGAUGAUGUCAAAGGCAGUCAAAUCUUUUAUCAAGUUUUUUUAUAUUAUUUUUUACAGAAAAUAAAAAAAAAAUAAUGGUAACAACACAGGGACUCCAAUGAAUAUAUAGCGAAAGACACUAAAGUAACCACCUCAUCAAGUGUGAAAGCUUCUCAUUACUUAUUUGAGAGAUAUCUAAGUUUUAAAAAUUUAAGUACUAACAAUAAUAUUGAUGAUGGUGGAGCAUAGAACUUUGAUAAGGACUCAUGUCUUCGGCAAUAACUAUUCAACAAAAACAUCACAAGGGAAUUAACUAUUUAAUAGAAAGAUGCUGGGUCAUGAUUCAUAUUGGAUAGACAUGGCGGAAAAACUGUGCACAUGUGCACUGUGAAGAGAAACCAAAA